rnacentral:misc_RNA from 1 species
GAGUAUGAGGGCCGGAUUUCGGAUGUUGAGGCGUCGUUUAAGAGGAUAACGCAGAUGUUGCAGGUUCAGCUGGAAGUUGUUGAUAAGAAGAUAGAAAACGAGGUUGGGAUUGUAGCCGGGGGACUGAAGCAAGCUGAGGAGAGGGGUGUGGUGUUUGAGAAGGAGCUGAAGGAGUUGGAGGCUAGAUCGACCGGCAUGGAGAAGUACUUGGGGG